AAUCAAGUGUUAUAAGGGCGUUUAGUGGAUGCCUUGGCACACAGAGGCUAUGAAGGACGUGAUACGCUGCGAUAAGCGUUGGGGAGCUGCGAAUAAGCUUUGAUCCAACGAUUUCCGAAUGGGGAAACCCACCUUAACAGACCUGUAUAUUAUUAGCCGUCCUUUUGGGCGUCUAACUUAUACAAGUUUGUCAUGGGUAUAAUUAACUAAAUACAUAGGUUAAUUAAGCAAACCUGGGGAACUGAAACAUCUAAGUACCCAGAGGAAAAGACAUCAACCGAGAUUCCGUUAGUAGUGGCGAGCGAAAGCGGAUCAGGCCAGUGGCCAUUUUUAAUUCAGCAGAAUAACCUGGAAAGGUUAACCUUAGUGGGUGACAGUCCCGUAUGCAAAAAAUUGAAUUUGGUCCUUGAGUAGGGCGGAACACGUGAAAUUCUGUCUGAAUAUGGGGGGACCACCCUCCAAGCCUAAAUACUCCUGUGUGACCGAUAGUGAACAAGUACCGUGAGGGAAAGGUGAAAAGYACCCCGACGAGGGGAGUGAAACAGUUCCUGAAACUGAACGUCUACAAGCUGUAGGAGCCACCUUGCGUGGCGACUGCGUACCUUUUGUAUAAUGGGUCAGCGACUUAGUCUUACUAGCAAGCUUAAACCGWUAGGUGUAGGCGCAGSGAAASCGAGUSUKAAUAGSGCGWCNAAGUUAGUAGGAUUAGACCCGAAACCGAGUGAUCUAGCUAUGAGCAGGUUGAAGGUGCAGUAACAUGCACUGGAGGACCGAACCCACCUAUGUUGAAAAAUGGGGGGAUGACUUGUUGCUAGGGGUGAAAGGCCAAUCAAACUCGGAGAUAGCUGGUUCUCCGCGAAAUCUAUUUAGGUAGAGCGUCAAAUGAAUACCAACGGGGGUAGAGCACUGRAUGGGCUAGGGGGUCUCACCGACUUACCAAWCCUAAYCAAACUCCGAAUACCGUUGAGUAMUAUUUGGCAGACACACUGCGGGUGCUAAGGUCCGUAGUGGAAAGGGAAACAGCCCUGACCGCCGUCUAAGGUCCCUAAGUGAUAGUUAAGUGGUAAAGCAUGUGAGAAUGCACAGACAACCAGGAGGUUGGCUUAGAAGCAGCCACCCUUUAAAGAUAGCGUAACAGCUCACUGGUCAAGCGUUCUUGCGGCGAAAAUGUACCGGGGCUUAAACUAUCCACCGAAGACGCGGGUGCACAUUUAUGUGCGCGGUAGCGGAGCGUUCCGUAAGCCUGUGAAGGYGUCCUGUGAGGGGCRUUGGAGGUAUCGGAAGUGAGAAUGCUGACAUGAGUAACGACAAAGAGGGUGAGAGACCCUCUCGCCAAAAGAUCAAGGUUUCCUGCGCAAUGCUAAUCAGCGCAGGGUUAGCCGGCCCCUAAGUCGAGGCAGAAAUGCGUAGACGAUGGGAACGAGGUUAAUAUUCCUCGGCCAGCGGGUAGUGACGGAUCCAGUGUAUCGUAUUUCCUUAUUGGAUUGGAAAUGCGGUGAAUGGGUUCCAGGAAAUAGCUCCCGCAUUAGACCGUACCCCAAACCGACACAGGUGAUCAGGUAGAGAAUACCAAGGCGCUUGAGAGAACUAUGCUGAAGGAACUCGGCAAAUUACCUCCGUAAGUUCGCGAGAAGGAGGCCCWUAUUUUGCGCAAGCAGAUUAWGGGGGCACAGACCAGGGGGUGGCGACUGUUUAUUAAAAACAUAGGGCUCUGCGAAGUAGCAAUACGACGUAUAGGGUCUGACGCCUGCCCGGUGCUGGAAGGUUAAAGGGAGSGGUGAGAGCUSCGAACUGAAGCCCCAGUAAACGGCGGCCGUAACUAUAACGGUCCUAAGGUAGCGAAAUUCCUUGUCGGGUAAGUUCCGACCUGCACGAAUGGCGUAACGACUUCCMCACUGUCUCMACCNGAGACUCAGYGAAAUUGAAHUCGCUGUKAAGAUGCAGYGUWCCCGCGGYUAGACGGAAAGACCCCGUGMACCUUUACUAUAGCUUSACAYUGKAYYUWGRMMYKWUUUGUGYAGGAUAGGUGGGAGGCUUUGAWKUKWRGACGCUAGUUYWWRWKGAGCCAYCCUUGARAUACCACCCUGRWNAUGUUUGNGGUUCUAACYMUGRYCCRUWAUCYGGRUYKRGGACASUGUSUGGUGGGUAGUUUGACUGGGGCGGUCKCCUCCYAAAGAGUAACGGAGGMGCRCGAAGKURCRCUMAGSMUGGUCGGAMAUCAKSCRKUKAGNNGYAARRGYAUAAGYGYGMYUGACUGCGAGACUGACAMGUCGAGCAGGKAMGAAAKUMGGUYYUAGUGAUCCGGYGGUWSYGWRUGGAAGKGCCRUCGCUCAACGGAUAAAAGGUACKCCGGGGAUAACAGGCUGAUMGCGCCCAAGMGYUCAYAKCGACGGCGCGGUUUGGCACCUCGAUGUCGGCUCAUCACAUCCUGGGGCUGGAGCAGGUCCCAAGGGUUCGGCUGUUCGCCGAUUAAAGUGGUACGUGAGCUGGGUUUAGAACGUCGUGAGACAGUUCGGUCCCUAUCUACCGUGGGCGUUGGAGAAUUGAGGGAAUCUGUCCUUAGUACGAGAGGACCGGGAUGGACAAACCUCUGGUGUUYCUGUUGUUCUGCCAAGAGCAUUGCAGGGUAGCUACGUUUGGAAUGGAUAACCGCUGAAGGCAUCUAAGCGGGAAGCCAGUCCCRAGAUUAAUUCUCCCAGAGCUUUAAGCUCUCUAAAGGGUCGUGGAAGACUACCACGUUGAUAGGCUGGGUGUGGAAGGGUAGUAAUAUCCGGAGCUGACCAGUACUAAUUGCCCGUGUGGCUUGACCAUGCAACAUUA
rnacentral:rRNA from 1 species